rnacentral:rRNA from 1 species
UACGUAGGGAGCAAGCGUUGUCCGGAAUCAUUGGGCGUAAAGCGCGCGCAGGCGGUCCUUUAAGUCUGAUGUGAAAGCCCACGGCUCAACCGUGGAGGGUCAUUGGAAACUGGGGGACUUGAGUGCAGAAGAGGAAAGCGGAAUUCCACGUGUAGCGGUGAAAUGCGUAGAGAUGUGGAGGAACACCAGUGGCGAAGGCGGCUUUCUGGUCUGUAACUGACGCUGAGGCGCGAAAGCGUGGGGAGCAAACAGG